CCCUACGGUAGCCAAUAGGCCAGAGCGGCGCUUGGCUGCGAGGGCCUAUCAUCACCGCUUGCGGUUUUAAUUGGAAUUCUUUUUGUCUUCAAUUUAUCUGAACACUUGCAGCUACUACCUGUGGAGGACUUAAAGACAAACAUGGUUCUGUUACCACACAAGACUGGAUAUGUGGCAUUGCCACUCCUGCACUAGUGUGCUGCCUUUUUGUUUUUUUAUUUGUUGUUAUGCAUGUAUGCAUUUCUAUUGAUCUGUAUUUUUUUUUCUUUAAGCAUGUUGCCUUUUAAAGGACAACAUUCUUGUUCGCAUUCUGACAGUCCUUGAGGAACUCAAAGAAGACAAUCGAGUCACUAGAAGGAUGCUACAAACCAUGGCACAGCGUGGCAACAGUGGUGACACCCUUUCUUUCAUCCCAGAUGGUUUCCCCCUAAAGACAGUUAGGGAGGUCGAAGUAAUGGAGGAAAAACUGUCUGACCCAAGCUGCAUGUCUGAACUGGUCACAGCAGUGCCAGACAUUGGAGGGAGCACUGUGGAUGAGGCCACAUGACGCAUGAUGGUCUUCAUCAUGGACCAUGACCUGUCAAGGCAGUAUAACUUUGUGGGCCGGAAUGGAAAGCGGGAAUUCGGGACUUUAAAGCGGUUUGAAGUCAUAUUUGGAGCUUUAAAGAAGAACACCUUAACCAGCCAGAUCACCAGGAAGGAUGUGGAGAGGGCAGUUUCGAAAUGGCUGAUCGGAUUAAGAAACAGGGGAGGCAAUAGACAGGUCCGACAGAUCCCUCCUUCUCCCUCCUUCUCCCACUAGAUCCACUUCUUGCUCAGCGGAAGAAAAUUUGUUAGGGGACCAUUUUUUUUUCUUGAUUGUAGUGACUACUUGUCUAUGAAAAAGCUUAAAAGUAAACAAACAAAAAAUAAAUUUAAAUCAAAUAGUCACUUGAUGAAUAGUGGGUUUCUGGUUUUACGCAGUACAAAAAAUUCUCAAAAUACGUCAAAAUGCAGUUCCGUGAGUUUAUUCCAGGUUUCUUCAGGAAAAAAUAAACAUAGUACAAACUGAAAAACUACUUGCCACCUCUCCUGCCCAGGUUUCCUGAAAGGACUGGUAGACGACAGAAUGCAGCACUGGAAGACCACUUUCCUCCUGAGCUACCUAGAGUCCAUGUAUUUAUACACCAAAUGAACUAAAUAAUCUGAAUUCUAAAACAAAAAUAGGGAAAUAGCUCCUACAUUGAUGUAUAACACUUUCAUAACUGGUUAUAAUGGUUAUUAUAAUCUGUAUCAUAUUGUGUGUGCGUGUGUAUUAAGCAUCUGAUUUAAUCUGUAAAAUACUAUUAUUGCUUUUCAUUUAAUAAAAAAAAAAGCUUGAUUAAUGGCAUGGCAUUUUUAUUUUAUAUAGUGGAUAGAGGCAACUCACAGUUGAUUGCAUCAAAGUCUUGACAAGCAGCAUUCACAAAAAAUAAUACAUAAUACAAUAAUAAAACAAAAUAAGAACCCUCUCCAAAAUUAAAUAGCCUGUAAUAAUAAAGGCUAGCCUGGGUACAGUGUAGGACAUAAGGACCCAUAAUCAGCCCAGGGUCCAGUGUGGGUCCCAUGUGGGAGAAAACUGGCCCAUGCCCAUGUGAAACCCACCCUCAGCCCAUGUGGGCUUGCCCACAAAGGGCCACUGUGGAACCCCCAUUCAAAAAUAGCUGAGCAGCCCAGCUGGGGCCCACUCACCAGCCCACAUCCAACCCGCAUGGGCCCCUCAUGGGUGUGUUGGCAGGGAGACUUAGAAAAGAUAGGCAAUGCAGCUUAUCUAGCUAUUGGUUAGAUUGAAUCUCAGUUGUCCUAUGAAUAAGAAUCUCCAUCUAUAGGCUAUUCAAUAAGGGAGAUUGUAACUCUUGUUUAGUAAAAAUGUAAUCAAAAAUUUCCAUCGUGGAGAGAGAAAACACUGAGGAACUCCCGUGAAAGUCGCUAUAGAUGCUUUUCUAGCCCAGACAGGGAACAGUUUAACUUUUUAAUUAGCAUCUUUUGUAUGACAAACAGGAAAUAUAUGACACACUCUAUCCCCGUGGCUGUAUUUGUAUUUAUUUGUGAGUGAAGAUAAAUCAAUUAAAUCAAUAAAAAAAAAAUCUUAAUUUCUCGGUUAGCUUCAAAAAUAUGUACUGUUCACUAAAAUCAAGACACAUAUAGACAUUAAUCCUAUAGUGAAGGUGGGUUUUGCUUGAUGGGUUUUGCUUGAUGAGAAAUAUAA